GUCACAUCACGUUGAAACACAUAUUUCUGUACGAACACCGAAGUUAAGCAACGUCGAGCCUGGCUAAUACCUAGAUGGAUGACCGCUUGGGAAUACCAGGUGUUGUAAG